rnacentral:lncRNA from 1 species
CAGGGAGUAAGCACUCGCACAACGCAUCCUCAAAGACCCCCCCAAAGACCAUAACUGUCAUUCUUGAUACUUUCGGAGGACAGAUGGGCCUAUCUGUAGGAGAGCACAAAGGAGAGGGCAAGUAUAUACGUGAGCAGGGAGUGAAAAUAAAGGAAAAUAUACCUCUGAGCUGAGGGACAAAAAAUGCCUAUGUACUUAUAAUGCUGUCUUCACCACAAACACUCCCCACCUCGUCUCCCCAUUGCCACGCCAAAAAAGCCCAACUCYGCUUAAACAACAUCCUUGCAGAUCACGUGGCAGCUGGCAAAGGCUGUUAGCCCUUCUGCCGAAGAGAGCUUAAACUCCUGAAACAAAGCAAACUGGGUUGAAAUUUUCGGCAUUAAAAAAUAAUGCAGCUGCCUCCCUGACACUCGGAGUUGAACUCCGAUUUCAGUUUUGCUUCUGCUAGAUCUUAGGUAAUGUGACUGCUACGGUGUAACUGAAAUCAGAAUUGGAUCUGCUAAUCUUGACGUUGGGUCACCUAAUGGUAAUCCAUCUGUUAUCUCUGUUACAUUCGCAGGAGCGCACACACCCACUCCCUUUAGACUGCAGUAAUUUAUUUGGCCUAUUUUAUGUCUGAUGGUCACUUGAAACUGUACGUCUUGCCUGUCAGCAGCUGUAGUUGUUUUGCUAAGAAGCUAUUCUGUACUGAAUCAGCAUGGGAUAGAGUGCCUAGAAGACAUUCAGACCAAGCACAGCUAGCGCUUUCACUAAUUUGGAAGUGUCUGAGCUGCUACUAUGAAGCACGGAGAAACUGCAGCCGAGCAUUGUGA